UGAAGUUGGUCCGGAACUGAGUCCAGCCUGCCUCUGCCUCCUGAGUGCUAGGAUUAAAGGCAGAUGCCAUGUAUGCUGCUCAUUCUCCAUCAUAACUGAUAUUCCUGUUUCCUGGUCCCAUCUGCCCUGUCCUGCCCCCUACCUUUCCUCCUCACCCAUUUUCAGUCUUUCCCCCUCUCUCUGGACUCUUCUCCCUCGCCUGCUAGCCCAGUCCUAGUCUCAGAGGAUAUGGGGCAGGAUACCCAGGGCUUGAUGUCCUCCUGGAUCCCUCCCCACAACCAGACCUCUGUCUGUCUCUGGGUCCUAGCCUGGGGACAUAAGGAAUGUGAUCAAGAGUGCUCAGUCCACUUUGCUCCUCUACCUGCCCAGUCUCCUCCUCUACCUGCCCUGUCUCCUUGCUCGUUUCUCUAUCCCCACCUCCUUCUCCCUAGGCUGCCUAGCCCCCCUUUCUGGGCUCUCUGUCCUGUUCUUUUCUGUGCUUGCCCUCAUGGCCUCACUGUUCUUUCUGGAAUCUUCUUUUGUUCUGUUCUCCAUCACUAUUCCCUUUCUUCCUCCAUUUUCUUUACAACCCAGGCUCUCCCACCAGUGCUGUAACACCACCUCCUCCCCUUUCCUCACUGAAACUUAGAAGCUGUCUCCACCUCCCUUAGCAUCUCUGCUGUUUAUCUCCCUUGACCAUUCAGGCCUUUCUUGUCUCCGAUAUCCAGUCUCUCCUCCCCUCUUAUCUAUUCUGACCCAAGGUGCUGAUCUCUCUCUCUCUCUCUCUCACACACACACACACACACACACACACACACACACACCCAACUUCUGACUAAUUCCCUUUCUGGUUGUCCCUCACUCUGCUCUCUCUGUCCCUCACACUCCUGUGGAACUCCUUCUGGUCUUCCUGUCUCUUUCUUGCACUGACUCCCUAUCCUCUCCUGGUGUGUGUGUGUGUGUGUAUGUGCAUAUGUGCACACACAGUAUAGGACAGAGGUCAACCUUAGGUGUUACUCAUGCUUAUUUUGUAUGUUCAUGUAUGCAUAUGGUGUGCUCACCUGUAAAACAUGUGUGAAGGUAGGACAUCAACAUCUCGUGUCCUCUCUAUUGUUUUGCGCCUUAGUUUUUGAACUUGACACCUUCCGAUUUGGUGAGUCUGGCCAGCCAGGAAGCCUGGGAAUCCCCAGCACCAGGAUCACUUACAGGCACUGUCACUGUGGGGGCUGUAAUGUGGGUACAGGCAGUGUCACUGUGAGGGCUGUAGUGUGGGUACAGGCAGUGUCACUGUGAGGGCUGUAGUGUGGGUACAGGCAGUGUCACUGUGUGGGC
rnacentral:lncRNA from 1 species